rnacentral:rRNA from 1 species
CAGCCGCCGCGGGAAUACGUAGGUGGCAAGCGUUGUCCGGAAUUAUUGGGCGUAAAGGGCUCGCAGGCGGUUUCUUAAGUCUGAUGUGAAAGCCCCCGGCUCAACCCCAGAAUUGCCUUUAAGACUGCCGAGCUAGUAGGUGAGAGAGGUAAGUGGAAUUCCGAGUGUAGAGGUGAAAUUCGUAGAUAUUCGGAAGAACACCAGUGGCGAAGGCGGCUUACUGGCUCAUUCUAGACGCUGAGGUGCGAAAGCGUGGGGAGCAAACAGGAUUAGAUACCCCAGUAGUCCCUGUCUCUUAUAC